rnacentral:rRNA from 1 species
UACGUAGGGUGCGAGCGUUGUCCGGAAUUAUUGGGCGUAAAGGGCGCGUAGGCGGCGCGGUAAGUCACUUGUGAAAUCUCUGAGCUUAACUCAGAACGGCCAAGUGAUACUGCAGUGCUAGAGUGCAGAAGGGGCAAUCGGAAUUCUUGGUGUAGCGGUGAAAUGCGUAGAUAUCAAGAGGAACACCUGAGGUGAAGACGGGUUGCUGGGCUGACACUGACGCUGAGUGCGCGAAAGCCAGGGGAGCAAACGGG